AUCUGGAAGGAAGUCUUUUUACGGAAACAAAAUUACGGUUAAUUAUAAAUUGUUUCAUAUAUGUUGACGUAUAUUUAGAAAGUUUUUGUGGUGGUCCCAAUAUGUUUUUAAACGCUUCUACUGUAUGGGAAACGCUGCAAGACCGCACUUGGGAAGGUUCGACGUCGAAAAGCUGCAAUCACAACAGACUGCCGAGCGAUUUUCUACACGGCCUGCACACCUGAUUUCUGAGAGCACUCAUCAGCACCUUGUAACGAACCCGGUUCUCCGGUUUGUAGCUGGGCUAUCUCUCAGCCGGGUUAUGGGUCUCUCCUAUAAUUUUGAUUUCCAAAAGCGCAAGAAAUGGACAACAUGAAUAGUUCUACGGUACCAAGGUAGCUUUAUUUUUAAUUGUUCUACUGGCAGCGUUUUCACGUCAGCCGUAUAUCUUAAAUCGUAUCGUACUGCCAGCGUUUGCACGUCAGCCGUAUAUCUCUAUUGGCAGCGUUUUCACGUCAGCCGUAUACUUCUAUCUACUCCUAUUGGCAGCGUUUGCACGACACACCAUAUAUUCUAUCUACGACAGCACAAACACGAGUGUCGUAUCACUGCUGAUGCUGCUCCUUUUAUUAAUUAGCCUUAAUUAGAUUACAGGUGGACAGUUAUGUACUGCCUUUUGUUGGCAGGCCUAUAGCCUGUUCUUCUUUGGCCUACUUAACAGCGAUGGUGCGCUACGCUAGUGCCUAGCUUAAAUGUUUAGUACUUAUUUAUAUUAUGUACAUAUGAAUAUAGAUAUGUAGGUAUAUAUAUAUAUAUAUGCUAUAGCACAGUUAGGGAAUGAACAAGAUAUAGUUGAAGCAAUAAUAUAAAAAGAAUAAAUAAAAGUAAUAAUAAUUAAUUUUAGGUUUAAGUACUAAAAUUUUAGAAUUAUUAAAUAAAUAAAUAAACAAAUAUUCAAAAUUAAAAGCAAAAAAAUAUUACAGACAAAAUGAAAAACAAAUAGUUUUAACGCUCAAGAAAAUUUAAGCAUAAGUUAGCAGUUUCAAAUGCACUGAUUUCGACACAUAAAAAACAAAACGCAACAGCUGAGUUACCUAGAUUAAUAUUGUUACGAUUUUAGUAAAUCAACCUCGAUU